rnacentral:rRNA from 1 species
UUUUUCAUUGUUAUUUUUGCUGCACGCGAGAAACAUGACGCACGUGUGGGGUAAAUAUUAAAUGCGGUUUCUUCUUUGUGACGUUUGCGGUGAGUUGCGGCUUGCGGAUCGAUAUUGACGCGUCUAGGGGCGGCAUUAUGGUGGGCGAGGCACUGCUUUCUGAAAUCGUUCGACGGCGUGUGAAAACUCAUGGCCACGUGGCGACGGCGUGGGAGAGGUGAAACCCGUGAUAAAUUUGGGAACGGUUGUUGCGGUGGAGAGAAAGUAGUAUGGUGAAGUGUCAAGCGCUAGCAAGGAAUGUACGGUACAGUUUGUAGUGGAUCUGGAAGAGACGAGCAUAAGGGACGAAGGGAUAAGAAACAUGUCGGAUGCGAUCAUACCAGCACUAAAGCACCGGAUCCCAUCAGAACUCCGAAGUUAAGCAUGCUUGGGCGAGAGUAGUACUAGGAUUGGUGACCUCCUGGGAAGUCCUCGUGUUGCAUUCCC